AUGGUAAGGCAAACGAAAUCAGUUGAGUGGUCACUCAAUCCUUUCGACUUGCAUGUGGUAGCUGCUUCGUCCGUGCUGCUGGCGCUGAGGCGGACGCCGGUGUCGCGAGUGGCCGCCGUCUUCUCCGGCCAGCUCCGCGCAUGCCCUCGGGGCGAGCUGCGCCCUCUACGGCCGGAGCUCGCCGCUGCCCUCCUCGCCCCGGCGCCGCUCGCUGCAGGCCGCCUCUGCUCCAGCCUCGCGCAUGUACGCACACACGCCACACUUCUCUCCACCAUACAAGCUCCAGCAGCGCCGUCGCCGUCGCCUGCGCCCCGACGGCCAUCGCCGCGCCUAGGGUAG
rnacentral:rRNA from 1 species